CUUCAUAACAAAGGUUCAUUACAUCCGAGCAAUAAAAAAACUUAGCCAAACAUAGAGUUGGAAUUAAACAAGCAAAAGAAGAAGGACAUCACCAAAACUUGACGGAACGUGAUAAAUUUCACAAUUAAAACUACAGUAUUCCGCCCGCUUUCUGCCAAAAUUGCCUAAUGCCUUUGUAUCUCUUCCUCGGUUUUUGUAUGUGUGGCGUGUAGUUAUAUAUAUUUUCCCAAGUUAGCAGCUUUUGUUUACUCCAAAAAUGGCUGCUUUUGUGUAUUUGUGUCUCUGCUCAAUUCUGCAUUCAUGUGUGUAUAAAUGUAUAUCACUCCAUCCAGCAACUCUUUUUAUUCUCUCAAAGAGCUGCAAUUUUUU
rnacentral:lncRNA from 1 species